GUGUGUCUGAGGUUGUUAGUUAUAGAGAGUGGUUGGGGCGUUUAGAGUCGGCGCUCCUCCCCCUUCACACCAGCUGUGAAAUGCCUGGCUUGUCUGAGGAAUGAGAGACCCUGGAGGGCCAAGGGUCCUGAACAAAUGAGCUCCCGUAAAACUCUACUUAUACAGGGACAGGACACAAUGCAGACAAGCAGCCGCCCAAAGCAGCCUUCAUGCUAACACCAAACAGAAGUGGGAAUCCGAUGAGAACAAUUAUGAUCUUCCCAAAAUGGUGCAGUGUUACGCUGAGCACCCUGUAAGCCAUGCUCACGGUGACCACCCCGCCCACAAUGCAGGACAGCCCCCUGCUGGGUUGAGGCAGAGCUCCAACGUAGGCGAUGGUGUGGCAGAUCCGAGAGGCGG